UACGUAGGAUGCAAGCGUUGUCCGGAAUUAUUGGGCGUAAAGAGCGCGCAGGCGGUAACUCAAGUCAGAUGUGAAAUAUCCGGGCUUAACCCGGAGGGGUCAUUUGAAACUGAGUAACUAGAGUACAGCAGAGGAUAGCGGAAUUCCCGGUGUAGUGGUGAAAUGCGUAGAUAUCGGGAGGAACACCAGUGGCGAAGGCGGCCUCCUGGGCCAGCACUGACGCUCAUGCACCGAAAA
rnacentral:rRNA from 1 species